CACGUAGUUAGCCGGGGCUUCUUCUGCAGGUACCGUCGAUGUUCUUCCCUGCUGAAAGCGGUUUACAACCCGAAGGCCGUCAUCCCGCACGCGGCGUUGCUGCGUCAGGGUUUCCCCCAUUGCGCAAUAUUCCCCACUGCUGCCUCCCGUAGGAGUCUGGGCCGUAUCUCAGUCCCAAUGUGGCCGUCCACCCUCUCAGGCCGGCUACCGAUCGUCGCUUUGGUGGGCCGUUACCCCGCAACUGGCUAAUCGGACGCGGGCUCAUCCCGUACCACCGGAGUUUUCAAGGCCGGGGCAUGCGCCCCCGCCUGUCAUGCGGUGUUAGCACCUGUUUCCAGGUGUUAUCCCCCGGUAGGGGCCAGAUUGCCCACGCGUUACUCACCCGUCCGCCACUAGGCCGCGUCCCGCCCCGGGUCCGGUAACCUUCCCCGGGCCUUACGCCGGCCCCGUUCGACUUGCAUGUGUUAGGCACGCCGCCAGCGUUCAUCCUGACGCCAGGACUCAAACUCU
rnacentral:rRNA from 1 species